AUUGAACGCUGGCGGCAGGCCUAACACAUGCAAGUCGAACGGUAGCACAGAGAGCUUGCUCUCGGGUGACGAGUGGCGGACGGGUGAGUAAUGUCUGGGAAACUGCCUGAUGGAGGGGGAUAACUACUGGAAACGGUAGCUAAUACCGCAUAACGUCGCAAGACCANAAGAGGGGGACCUUCGGGCCUCUUGCCAUCAGAUGUGCCCAGAUGGGAUUAGCUAGUAGGUGGGGUAACGGCUCACCUAGGCGACGAUCCCUAGCUGGUCUGAGAGGAUGACCAGCCACACUGGAACUGAGACACGGUCCAGACUCCUACGGGAGGCAGCAGUGGGGAAUAUUGCACAAUGGGCGCAAGCCUGAUGCAGCCAUGCCGCGUGUAUGAAGAAGGCCUUCGGGUUGUAAAGUACUUUCAGCGGGGAGGA
rnacentral:rRNA from 1 species